rnacentral:rRNA from 1 species
AACUCUGAGCAGUGGAUCACUCGGCUCACGAGUCGAUGAAGAACGCAGCCAGCUGCGAGACUUGAUGUGAAUUGCGGGACACAUUGAAACACUAAUUUUUCGAUACCCGGGACCUCGCCUGUCUGAGGUUCG